GGAUAACUUACCCUUUAGGACUGGGAUAACUCUGGGAAACUGGGGAUAAUACUGGAUAUUAGGCUAUGCCUGGAAUGGUUUGCCUUUGAAAUGUUUUUUUUUCGCCUAAGGAUAGGUCUGCGGCUGAUUAGGUCGUUGGUGGGGUAAUGGCCCACCAAGCCCGAUGAUCGGUACGGGUUGUGAGAGCAAGGGCCCGGAGAUGGAACCUGAGACAAGGUUCCAGACCCUACGGGGUGCAGCAGGCGCGAAACCUCCGCAAUGUACGAAAGUGCGACGGGGGGAUCCCAAGUGUUAUGCUUUUUUGUAUGACUUUUCAUUAGUGUAAAAAGCUUUUAGAAUAAGAGCUGGGCAAGACCGGUGCCAGCCGCCGCGGUAACACCGGCAGCUCGAGUGGUAGCUGUUUUUAUUGGGCCUAAAGCGUUCGUAGCCGGUUUGAUAAGUCUUUGGCGAAAGCUUGUAGCUUAACUAUAAGAAUUGCUGGAGAUACUAUUAGACUUGAAGUCGGGAGAGGUUAGAGGUACUACCGGGGUAGGGGUGAAAUCCUAUAAUCCUGGGAGGACCACCUGUGGCGAAGGCGUCUAACUGGAACGAUCUUGACGGUGAGUAACGAAAGCCAGGGGCGCGAACCGGAUUAGAUACCCGGGUAGUCCUGGCCGUAAACGAUGUGGACUUGGUGUUGGAAUGGCUUUGAGUUGUUCCGGUGCCGAAGGGAAGCUGUUAAGUCCACCGCCUGGGAAGUACGGUCGCAAGACUGAAACUUA
rnacentral:rRNA from 1 species